UACGAAGGGGGCGAGCGUUUGUUCGGAAUUACUGGGCGUAAAGGGCGCGUAGGCGGCCGAGCAAGUUAGAUGUGAAAGUCCUGGGCUUAACCUGGGGACUGCAUUUGAUACUGCUUGGCUUGAAUUCGGGAGAGGAUAGCGGAAUUCCCAGUGUAGAGGUGAAAUUCGUAGAUAUUGGGAAGAACACCGGUGGCGAAGGCGGCGAGCUGGUCCAUUACUGACGCUGAGGCGCGACAGCGUGGGGGAGCAAACAGG
rnacentral:rRNA from 1 species